CAUGCCAUAAACGAUGUGUGCUAGUUAUUAGAGAUUCAUCUUUGGUGACGCAGCUAACGCAUUAAGCACACCGCCUGGGGAGUACGGUCGCAAGAUUAAAACUCAAAGGAAUUGACGGGGGCCCGCACAAGCGGUGGAGUAUGUUCAUUAAUUCGACGCAACGCGAAAAACCUUACCUACGCUUGACAUGUCCGGACGACUUUCAGAGAUGAUUGUCUUCCCGCAAGGGACUGGAACACAGGUGC
rnacentral:rRNA from 1 species